rnacentral:rRNA from 1 species
UACGAAGGGGGCUAGCGUUGUUCGGAAUUACUGGGCGUAAAGGGCGCGCAGGCGGCCCUCCAAGUCAGGCGUGAAGGCCCCGGGCUCAACCCGGGAACAGCGCUUGAGACUGGGGGGCUUGAGUUCGGGAGAGGAGAGUGGAAUUCCCAGUGUAGAGGUGAAAUUCGUAGAUAUUGGGAAGAACACCGGUGGCGAAGGCGGCUCUCUGGACCGACACUGACGCUGAGGCGCGAAAGCGUGGGGAGCAAACAGG